rnacentral:tRNA from 1 species
GGAGAGAUGGCUGAGUGGUUGAUAGCUCCGGUCUUGAAAACCGGUAUAGUUCUUUGUUCAAAACUAUCGAGGGUUCGAAUCCCUCUCUCUCCU